rnacentral:rRNA from 1 species
UAGGGUCCGAGCGUUGUCCGGAAUUACUGGGCGUAAAGAGCUCGUAGGUGGUUUGUCGCGUUGUUCGUGAAAACUCACAGCUUAACUGUGGGCGUGCGGGCGAUACGGGCAGACUUGAGUACUGCAGGGGAGACUGGAAUUCCUGGUGUAGCGGUGGAAUGCGCAGAUAUCAGGAGGAACACCGGUGGCGAAGGCGGGUCUCUGGGCAGUAACUGACGCUGAGGAGCGAAAGCGUGGGGAGCGAACAGG